UUGCUUGCUAGUGCAGCAUUAUCAAGAUUCACAUAGAAAAAAAAAACAGAAAAUGAAAACUGUUUAAUAUUUUUAAUAUAUGAGAAUCUUGAUGCUGCUGCAUUGGCAAAUAA
rfam:Capsicum annuum cultivar Zunla-1 chromosome 5, whole genome shotgun sequence